AAAAUCCGUUGGCUUUAUUGACCGUGAGGGUUCAAGUCCCUCUCUCCCCA
rnacentral:tRNA from 1 species